UGUCAGGACGAACGCUGGCGGCGUGCCUAAUACAUGCAAGUCGAACGAACUCUGGUAUUGAUUGGUGCUUGCAUCAUGAUUUACAUUUGAGUGAGUGGCGAACUGGUGAGUAACACGUGGGAAACCUGCCCAGAAGCGGGGGAUAACACCUGGAAACAGAUGCUAAUACCGCAUAACAACUUGGACCGCAUGGUCCGAGUUUGAAAGAUGGCUUCGGCUAUCACUUUUGGAUGGUCCCGCGGCGUAUUAGCUAGAUGGUGAGGUAACGGCUCACCAUGGCAAUGAUACGUAGCCGACCUGAGAGGGUAAUCGGCCACAUUGGGACUGAGACACGGCCCAAACUCCUACGGGAGGCAGCAGUAGGGAAUCUUCCACAAUGGACGAAAGUCUGAUGGAGCAACGCCGCGUGAGUGAAGAAGGGUUUCGGCUCGUAAAACUCUGUUGUUAAAGAAGAACAUAUCUGAGAGUAACUGUUCAGGUAUUGACGGUAUUUAACCAGAAAGCCACGGCUAACUACGUGCCAGCAGCCGCGGUAAUACGUAGGUGGCAAGCGUUGUCCGGAUUUAUUGGGCGUAAAGCGAGCGCAGGCGGUUUUUUAAGUCUGAUGUGAAAGCCUUCGGCUCAACCGAAGAAGUGCAUCGGAAACUGGGAAACUUGAGUGCAGAAGAGGACAGUGGAACUCCAUGUGUAGCGGUGAAAUGCGUAGAUAUAUGGAAGAACACCAGUGGCGAAGGCGGCUGUCUGGUCUGUAACUGACGCUGAGGCUCGAAAGUAUGGGUAGCAAACAGGAUUAGAUACCCUGGUAGUCCAUACCGUAAACGAUGAAUGCUAAGUGUUGGAGGGUUUCCGCCCUUCAGUGCUGCAGCUAACGCAUUAAGCAUUCCGCCUGGGGAGUACGGCCGCAAGGCUGAAACUCAAAGGAAUUGACGGGGGCCCGCACAAGCGGUGGAGCAUGUGGUUUAAUUCGAAGCUACGCGAAGAACCUUACCAGGUCUUGACAUACUAUGCAAAUCUAAGAGAUUAGACGUUCCCUUCGGGGACAUGGAUACA
rnacentral:rRNA from 1 species